CAACAAAUUCUAUCCCCAGAAUUUGGCUACUCACUCUUUUAACUCAAAAAACUAAAGGUCCUAACAUUUGUGCUAAUUAUUUUUCGUCCCCAGAAAUUGGAUCUCAUCAAGUUCCCAGUAUCCAGAGGAAGUACCAAAGACUGUAUCUCCGUCAACUCUGAGAGGAGCCUUGUUGGCCAGAGUCCAGGAGGAGCAAUGCAUCAAAAGGACCCCUUCCUGACAUUAACUUCAAGUUCUAAGAGGUGCAGAGUCAUGACAGAGCCAUCCAGGAUGGCGACUACCUCGCGCUGAUCUGCUCCCUGCCUUUAUUUUAUGUUUGAAGGAGAGGGAAUACAAACAAGAUUCAAGCUCUGAACAUCAGUUUUCAACAAAUGAUGCAGUCUUACUUUGAGAUCCCACAAUAUAUUCAGGAAAUCUGGUAAGGAAGCAUUCUCUCUGAGAAUAAUAGGUAUAGGUUCUCCUUCCUGUGCUUGCUGUUAUU
ensembl:lncRNA